UCCCUGGUGGUCUAGUGGUUAGGAUUCAGCGCUUUCACCACCGCGACCUGGGUUCGAUUCCCAGUCAGGGAA